AAAACAUCGCCUCUUGACUAAAUAUAAGAGGUCCAGCCUGCCCACUGACAUAGUUUAACGGCCGCGGUACCCUAACCGUGCGAAGGUAGCAUAAUCACUUGUUCUUUAAAUAAGGACUCGUAUCAACGGCAUCACGAGGACUGUACUGUCUCCUUUCUCCAAUCAGUGAAACUGAUCUCCCCGUGAAGAAGCGGGGAUUAACCUAUAAGACGAGAAGACCCCAUGGAGCUUAAAGCCCAUAAACACCUCUACGCACUUAAAUCAACUUAGCCUAAGAGACCUGUCAGCCAGCUUUAGGUUGGGGGGACCGCGGAGAAAAACUUAACCUCCACGACAAACGGGCAAACGCCCUUAUCCAUGAAUUACAAUUCUAAGAAUCAAUAAACUGAUGUUUAAUGACCCGAUUAUUCGAUCAACGAACCAAGUUACCCUGGGGAUAACAGCGCAAUCUACUUUAAGAGCCCAUAUCGACAAGUAGGUUUACGACCUCGAUGUUGGAUCAGGGUAUCCUAGUGGUGCAGCCGCUACUAAAGGUUCGUUUGUUCAACGAUUAAAACCCUACAUGAUC
rnacentral:rRNA from 1 species